rnacentral:rRNA from 1 species
GAUGAACGCUGGCGGCGUGCUUAACACAUGCAAGUCGAACGAUGAACCGGGUGCUUGCACUCGGGGAUUAGUGGCGAACGGGUGAGUAACACGUGAGCAACCUGCCCCUGACUCUGGGAUAAGCGCUGGAGACGGCGUCUAAUACUGGAUAUGUCCCGUCACCGCAUGGUGUGCGGGUGGAAAGAUUUUUCGGUUGGGGAUGGGCUCGCGGCCUAUCAGCUUGUUGGUGAGGUAAUGGCUCACCAAGGCGUCGACGGGUAGCCGGCCUGAGGGGGUGACCGGCCACACUGGGACUGAGACACGGCCCAGACUCCUACGGGAGGCAGCAGUGGGGAAUAUUGCACAAUGGGCGGAAGCCUGAUGCAGCAACGCCGCGUGAGGGAUGACGGCCUUCGGGUUGUAAACCUCUUUUAGCAGGGAAGAAGCGAGAGUGACGGUACCUGCAGAAAAAGCACCGGCUAACUACGUGCCAGCCGCCGCGGUAA